UGUUAAAAAUAUACCCAUUUGUACUGUUAAAAACUGUCGUAACUGACAAAAAAACCAGACAAAGACGUGUAGUGUGUAUCUCAUCUAACUACUUGAACCAAUUUUAAACAUUAGAAAUGGAUGAAAUUUUUAACA
rnacentral:pre_miRNA from 1 species